UACGUAGGGCGCAAGCGUUGUCCGGAGUUACUGGGCGUAAAGGGUGCGCAGGCGGCGUUCCGCGUGGCGAGAUGAAAUCUCCUGGCUUACCUGGGAGGGUGGUCGCCAGACGGGAGCGCUUGAGGGGUCGGAGAGGGGCGUGGAAUUCCGGGUGGAGGCAGGUGAAUGCGUAGAGAUCCGGAGGAACACCGACGGCGUAGGCAGCGCCCUGGACG
rnacentral:rRNA from 1 species